rnacentral:rRNA from 1 species
UGGGGAAUAUUGGGCAAUGGAGGGAACUCUGACCCAGCCAUGCCGCGUGCAGGAUGAAGGCGUUAUGCGUUGUAAACUGCUUUUUAUAUAGGAAGAAAUAGUCCUUGCGAGGAAAGUUGACGGUACUAUAUGAAUAAGCACCGGCUAACUCCGUGCCAGCAGCCGCGGUAAUACGGAGGGCGCAAGCGUUGUCCGGAUUUAUUGGGUUUAAAGGGUGCGUAGGCGGUUUAUUAAGUCAGUGGUGAAAGACGGUCGCUCAACGAUUGCAGUGCCAUUGAUACUGGUAGACUUGAGUAUGAUUGAGGUAGCUGGAAUGGAUAGUGUAGCGGUGAAAUGCAUAGAUAUUAUCCAGAACACCAAUUGCGUAGGCAAGUUACUAAGUCAUAACUGACGCUGAGGCACGAAAGUGUGGGUAUCAAACAGGAUUAGAUACCCGUGUAGUCCCUGAGCGGGCUGGCAAGGCGCAU